rnacentral:rRNA from 1 species
UACCUAACCGCUAGCUUAACAACU